rnacentral:rRNA from 1 species
ACGGAGGGGGCUAGCGUUGUUCGGAAUUACUGGGCGUAAAGCGCACGUAGGCGGCUUUGUAAGUUAGAGGUGAAAGCCCAGAGCUCAACUCUGGAACUGCCUUUAAGACUGCAUCGCUUGAAUCAUGGAGAGGUUAGUGGAAUUCCGAGUGUAGAGGUGAAAUUCGUAGAUAUUCGGAAGAACACCAGUGGCGAAGGCGACUAACUGGACAUGUAUUGACGCUGAGGUGCGAAAGCGUGGGGAGCAAACAGG